CAAGAGUUGUUCAUCAUCAUCAAACCCUAGCUUUCUGCAACAGGGGAGUGAAUCCACUGCAAAAGUUGUUCCCUUCCUUACACGAAUCAAGACCCACUUCAGAGAACAUCUUCGAGAACUCAUCCAACUCCAACCUCCUGAACCUUUGUUCAUCCUUCUCAAAAACCUUCAGAAGCUCUUUAAAAAAUCCCACU